CCUACGGGUGGCUGCAGUAGGGAAUAUUGCUCAAUGGGGGAAACCCUGAAGCAGCAACGCCGCGUGGAGGAUGAAGGUUUUCGGAUUGUAAACUCCUUUUGGUAGAGAAGAUAAUGACGGUAUCUGACGAAUAAGCACCGGCUAACUCCGUGCCAGCAGCCGCGGUAAUACGGAGGGUGCAAGCGUUACUCGGAAUCACUGGGCGUAAAGAGCGCGUAGGCGGGAGAGCAAGUCAGAUGUGAAAUCCUAGGGCUUAACCACAGAACUGCAUUUGAAACUGUUAUGCUAGAGUAUGGGAGAGGUAGGUGGAAUUCUUGGUGUAGGGGUAAAAUCCGUAGAGAUCAAGAGGAAUACUCAUUGCGAAGGCGACCUGCUAGAACAUAACUGACGCUGAUGCUCGAAAGCGCGGGUAGCGAACAGGAUUAGAUACCCCAGUAGUC
rnacentral:rRNA from 1 species